AGCAUAUCAAUAAGCGGAGGAAAAGAAACUAACAAGGAUUCCCCUAGUAACUGCGAGUGAAGCGGGAAAAGCUCAAAUUUAAAAUCUGGCGGUCUCUGACUGUCCGAGUUGUAAUCUAGAGAAGYGUUAUCCGCGCUGGACCGUGUACAAGUCUCCUGGAAURGAGCGUCAUAGAGGGUGAGAAUCCCGUCUUUGACACGGACUGCCAGGGCUUUGUGAUGCGCUCUCAAAGAGUCGAGUUGUUUGGGAAUGCAGCUCAAAAUGGGUGGUAAAUUCCAUCUAAAGCUAAAUAUUGGCGAGAGACCGAUAGCGAACAAGUACCGUGAGGGAAAGAUGAAAAGMACUUUGGAAAGAGAGUUAAACAGUACGUGAAAUUGCUGAAAGGGAAACGCUUGAAGUCAGUCGCGUUGGCCARGGAUCAACCUUGCUUUUGCUUGGUGUACUUUCUGGUUGACGGGUCAUCAUCAWUUUUGACUAUUGRAAAAAGGUCAAGGGAAUGUGSCAUCUUCGGAUGUGUUAUAGCCCUUGGUUGCAUMCAAUGGUUGGGAUUGAGGAACUCACCACGCCGCAAGGCCGGGUUUUAACCACGUACGUGCUUAGGAUGCUGGCAAAAUGGCUUUAAUCGACCCGUCUUGAAACACGGACCAAGGAGUCUAACAUGCCUGCGAGUGUUUGGGUGGAAAACCCCAGCGCGUAAUGAAAGUGAAAGUUGAGAUCCCUGUCGUGGGGAGCAUCGACGCCCGGACCAGACCUUUUGUGACGGYUCCGCGGUAGAGCAUGUAUGUUGGGACCCGAAAGAUGGUGAACUAUGCCUGAAUAGGGUGAAGCCAGRGGAAACUCUGGUGGAGGCUCGUAGCGAUUCUGACGUGCAAAUCGAUCGUCAAAUUUGGGUAUAGGGGCGAAAGACUAAUCGAACCAUCUAGUA
rnacentral:rRNA from 2 species